UACACUAACAUCCUCGCAAGUCCCAUCCUCUUUCCAUAACACUUCCUGGAAACACAAGCAGGGUCCUUAACAGAACAUCUGAGACAGAAUCUUCAAAGUUUAUUAAUUUUCUAUACCUACGUAGUCUUUAUUACUUCAUCCUCAUACAGUUCCCAUUCAAGCAUCUUCUUCUAUCAUCUGCACUAUCCCAAGAGUUUGUUUGAUUUCUGCAUGCCUUGCUCUUCUUUUUACUCAAAAAGACCUACUCUUCCAUUUUAUUUUCCAUCAUUUUCCCACUUUUCUUUUAAUUCAUCUCCGUUAUUUAACUCUGAAAAAAAAAAAAAACAGUUCUCGUAAAUUACUUUUGUUUAAGCCCUUCUACUUUUCCUUUCCUUAAAACAAUUCUCCGGAAUUGGUGAAGUAAUUCUAUCCCAAUUGAGCAUUUUCAAUUUCCAAGUUUAUCGGUCAACAAUCCUUUCUCUUGUGAUCCACAUUUUCAUAAAGAUAAGCUCAGCAGAACAAGGGUGGAUGUGAGGUGGGUUGAGGGUGCCUGCUGCAGGGUACUCCAAAGUGGCAAAGGAGACACCAUGGCCAUUGAGGGCAGGGAACUCCAUCAUGCUAGCUUUGUAACCUAAUACUAUAACUUUUUCCAAGUCACUUUAGGUUUUAUAUAUUUUAACGAUUCUUUUUCCCUUUGGAUAGUACCUUGGACUGUUGUAAUUAUCACCAACAUCAAAUGUGAUUUUGAAUCAGGUAAAGAAGGCAAAGGGGGGAUGGUCCUACAUUUUUCUACUUUUUGUUUAUGAUCAGAAGAAACUGCUUGCAUUGAUAAUUCUCCAGCAGAUCGCUGUUGUUUGGACAGCAAGAGAAAAGGGCAGCUCACUGAGCAUGCCACUGUCAUGGGCCCCUCUUAUUUACUCUUUCAACCACAUUCAUUCAAAGUCUA